rnacentral:misc_RNA from 1 species
GAAAAUAAUUAAAAGAUUAAGAAAAAGAAAGACAAAAUGCUACUGCCAAUCAAAGAAAGGCCAACAACAAUCCUUAAAAGCCAACAGGAUGAGAGCGUCUGUAGAGAAAUUGAAUAGGGUGAGUCAUGUAGAAGACAGAAGUAAGCAUAUGAAAAUUAACACGGUAUAUGUACAAAUGGAAGCAAAUUUACAUCUCUUUAAUAAUCAUCCUCGUGAUCAUCAGCAUCUUCAUUAUUAUUUUUCGAGUCAUCAACAUCAACAGUAACAACCUUAGAAACACUAAUCCUAGUGGAGGCUGAUCUUAUCUUCAAUAGUAAUUUUCCUUUAUUGCAAGUCAUAACUCCAUAACCUUCUUCUCCCUCUUUCUUUAAGUCACUAGGGGGCAAAAAGCAGUCCAUGGACAAUCCUUUUAUGUUAAAAUCCACUUCUUCUAUAGCCCAAACCUCUUCCAUUCUUGUUCUUGAAUGUCUUUCUGAGUUCUCACCAAACCUAUACAAUGAAACUGAUGUUCUACCACCAUGUGCUAUGUUGAUUCCAUCAAUGGUUCUGUAAUCUUGAAUUUUAGACUCCAUUGUGGUCUCCCAGUAAAUGCUAUCGUUUCCUGAGGCUUUGAUCCUUAAAAGGUGAGAGUCUUGUAGUUGGACCAAGAGCCCUGUUCUUUGGCUAAAGUAUCCCCAAACUGUAUGCCUUAUUAUUUCCACAUUGCCUGUGCUUCUUGCUCUUAGUGAUGAAGGUUCAGCUUCAAGUUUUAGUACGAAACAGUCCUCGUCGUUGAUCGCCUUCUCGCCGUCACAAAUGGAGUUGGAAAAUAAGUUGGCUGUGGAUUUGGGAUCAAGACCCUGUUGAUAUUGAUAUGAGAUUUUGAGAAAAUUUUGUGAACAUAUCAAGAAAUCACAUGUUGAAGCUCUAAGCUAUGCACUUUUACGCAAGAAAGUAGAAUAUAUCUUAUAUUGGGCUUCAUAUAAUGGGCAUUUCAAAUGGGCCUGUUGAAAACAUGACCAAACUUCAAUGGGAUGGCAGACCAACUAUGCUGUUGACUUCUGUAAACUUUAUUUUUAAUCCACCGAUGUUGUUGACUUUCUUGAUUAGGAUCAAGAACUUGGUGAAUAAUGGCAAAAUUUUACAAUCUCAUAAACUAUUUAAGUGCCAUUAUAUUAAAGUUAAUUGAUAAACUUAGUAAUUUGAUAAAUUAGGUACGCUAGAUCCCACAUUAAAGCAAGACAUAAGGAGCUAUGGCAAAUUUGGGGUAAAUGUGAACAUAGAAUUCGCGUCCCCCGGGUCCUUUCCUUUUUUUGAGAAAGUUCAGAAGAACACAAAAAAAGAUGGGAGCCGAAUAGCUUUAAUUUUACACGAAUCGGCCAAGAAAAGCCCAUGAAAAUGCACAGAACCAUGAAAAUCAGUGAUUUUUUUUCCCAAGUACUCAAAAGAGAAAAAAGUAAAAUUUUGACAAAGGGGGAGCUACCUGGAGGAAACGCCUGAGGGGCCUAGGGGGGCCUCUGGAAGCAUGGGAAUGGUGCCAUGGGGUUUGCCUCCAAGCCACCUUACCAUCACUGCCUGCACUAAUCUUGCAACCUGAAACAACUAGCUCCAGGCACCAAAAGUCAGGCCUUUUUUGCCAAAGAACAAAUCCUCCCGUCUCUCCAUCUCCAUUCAUCAAGUUCUUCACUUGCACCACCUUAUUGUUCAGGCUCCCUUCUCCUGCAAAGAAUUCUAAAGCUCCCAUUUUCACUUUCCCCAUUGCAUACAUGCUGUCUACAGAAUUCAUUGCCCUCUCCCCUCCCACUGCUGCUAUAUAUUGUUGCACUAUGUAUUUUGCCAUUGAUGCCUCAAUAGGUUGAUCUUUGAUGUUACAGUUGAUGAACUGGUGAUCAAAGCAGAUAGGAAGAGGGAUCAAAGGAGAACCAACAAUACCAAGCAAGAGUUGGAUCUCUGUAUUUCUCCUUCCAAAUAUGUCUGCCAGAGACCUAUCAGUAUGUGGUCUCAUCCAAGCUUUCAAGUUCCGCCGUGAACUAUUCCCAUUCUUGUUUGAACCAAACAUCUCUUCUGGGAUUGGAACCUCGAGGACUGUCUCCAAUCCAUCUUCUCGAUCAAAAUUUGGACAAAGUUUCAUCAUCAAAAAGAGAGAAUGAUUGCAGAGAAUUAUGGAUGAUGAGUUCUUUGCUUCUAGUUACGGAAGCUUUCGAGUAGAAAAG